rnacentral:lncRNA from 1 species
UGGAAGACUUGCCUUAAAUCCCAAACCCCAAGUCCCAUAAAUACCUUGCCUAUUCUUUAAACUCCAAAUCACUGCUACUAAUCCUUCAUCUCCCCACUAAGGUAGUGUUCUCUAUACUGCAGUAAGCAAUUAGCCUAGGUCUUUCUUAUCAAUGGAUUAUUUUUGUGUUAUUUUGAGGGGUUGAACAUUCAGUAAUAUUUGGCAGUGGUAGGGCAUGUACCCUGGCUGGCUGUGUCUCUGGGGCAGGUUCCUGGAAGACCUGCUGGGUCUGGCAAUCUUCAGACAGUGGGGCAGUUAUGAGAAGCUCCCAAGAGGGAGGAGAGUUGGAGUAGCUGGGUUCGGUGGGUGGGGUAGAGUGCUGGGGUGGGGGUGCUCUGUUCACUGCCUGGUGUAGAAGAGUUCCACAAUUUUAACAAUUGGUAGAAACAUUCUAUUUCUGUACUGGUGGGUGCCACCUAAUAUCAGGCCUUGAUGAAAUGAUCAGGAAAACCAGAUGCAAGGAAAAGAUGACCAAUGGAUGCCGGUGUGGCUAGAUCCUGAAGCCUUUCCAACUUUUCCAAGCCUCCAUGGAACUUAAAUAUAGCCCUAGGCCUAUGUGGAGAGGUCAGGAAGGGAGAGAGGCUGCUUUGGUUUCCCUUUGCUGUGAUGGACCUCAGCUGCCUGGCCUUGUAUCCCAGUUUUGUUUCUUCCACGCUGGCUGUAAGCCAGGUAUUGCCCAACUGCGAAGUGAGGAAACCUCUAUCAAGGUGUAA